rnacentral:rRNA from 1 species
AGUGAACGCUGGCGGUAGGCCUAACACAUGCAAGUCGAACGGCAGCACAGUAAGAGCUUGCUCUUACGGGUGGCGAGUGGCGGACGGGUGAGGAAUACAUCGGAAUCUACUUUUUCGUGGGGGAUAACGUAGGGAAACUUACGCUAAUACCGCAUACGACCUACGGGUGAAAGCAGGGGAUCUUCGGACCUUGCGCGAUUGAAUGAGCCGAUGUCGGAUUAGCUCGUUGGCGGGGUAAAGGCCCACCAAGGCGACGAUCCGUAGCUGGUCUGAGAGGAUGAUCAGCCACACUGGAACUGAGGCACGGUCCAGACGCCUACGGGAGGCAGCAGUGGGGAAUAUUGGACAAUGGGCGCAAGCCUGAUCCAGCCAUACCGCGUGGGUGAAGAAGGCCUUCGGGUUGUAAAGCCCUUUUGUUGGGAAAGAAAAGCAGCAGGUUAAUACCCCGCUGUUCUGACGGUACCCAAAGAAUAAGCACCGGCUAACUUCGUG